UAACGCGACCGUACCAUGAGAUGAGAAACACCCGUUCUCAUCUGAUCACCGAGAUUAGGCAACGUUUGGCCCAGUUAGUACUUGUAUGGGUGAACAGCUGGGAAUACCGGGUGUUGUGGCCA
rnacentral:rRNA from 1 species